UGCAGUCGGACGGGAUUGAGGAGCUUGCUUCUCAUGAGAGUGGCGCACGGGUGCGUAACACGUAUGUAACCUACCUUGUUCAGGGGGAUAGCCUCUCGAAAGAGAGAUUAACACCGCAUAAAAUCAAUUUAUGGCAUCAUAGAAUGAUCAAAUAUUUAUAGGAACAAGAUGGGCAUGCGGAACAUUAGCUAGUUGGUAAGGUAACGGCUUACCAAGGCUACGAUGUUUAGGGGAUCUGAGAGGAUGACCCCCCACACUGGUACUGAGACACGGACCAGACUCCUACGGGAGGCAGCAGUAAGGAAUAUUGGUCAAUGGACGCAAGUCUGAACCAGCCAUGCCGCGUGCAGGAAGACGGCCCUACGGGUUGUAAACUGCUUUUGUACCGGAAUAAACCUUUUCACGUGUGAGAAGCUGAAUGUACGGUAAGAAUAAGGAUCGGCUAACUCCGUGCCAGCAGCCGCGGUAAUACGGAGGAUCCAAGCGUUAUCCGGAUUUAUUGGGUUUAAAGGGUGCGUAGGUGGCCUAUUAAGUCAGGGGUGAAAGACGGUAGCUUAACUAUCGCAGUGCCUUUGAUACUGAUGGGCUUGAAUACACUUGAGGUAGGCGGAAUGUGACAAGUAGCGGUGAAAUGCAUAGAUAUGUCACAGAACACCAAUUGCGAAGGCAGCUUACUAAAGUGUUAUUGACACUGAGGCACGAAAGCGUGGGGAUCAAACAGGAUUAGAUACCCUGGUAGUCCACGCCCUAAACGAUGAAUACUCGAUGUUGGCGAUAUACGGUCAGCGUCUAAGCGAAAGCGUU
rnacentral:rRNA from 1 species